GACCCGAGUCCAGAGGGCAGUCUUCUACUGGACAGAGAUGUGUGUAGAGGUUGACGAUGCUGUCAGCUUGUUUUGCCGACCCACCAGGAGAUCUCCGGUGGCAGGGUAGCAGCUUCCUUGGGCACAGCCAUGGGCUGAGUCUGGAUCCUGAGCAACAGUCCCCACCACAGCUAGACAGUGAGAGAAAGAGAUAGAAAGAUAACUGUCAGUAGCAGCACUGCUAGGAGCUGUGUAAUUCUAUGAUUCCGUAAACAUGGCUUACCCUUAAA